GUCCUAGCUGUAAACGGUGCGCAUUUGCUGUAAACGGAAUCUACCCCGUUUGUGGCGAAGCUAACGCGAUAAAUGCGCCGCCUGGGAAGUACGGUCGCAAGAUUAAAACUCAAAGAAAUUGACGGGGGCCUGCACAAGCGGUGGAGUAUGUGGCUUAAUUUGAUGCAACGCGAAGAACCUUACCUGGCCUUGACAUGCAAGUAGUAGAACCAUGAAAGUGGGACGAUCCCGCAAGGGAAGCUUGCACAGGUGCUGCAUGGCUGUCGU
rnacentral:rRNA from 1 species